rnacentral:rRNA from 1 species
AGUGAACGCUGGCGGUAGGCCUAACACAUGCAAGUCGAACGGCAGCACAGUAAGAGCUUGCUCUUACGGGUGGCGAGUGGCGGACGGGUGAGGAGUACAUCGGAAUCUACUUUUUCGUGGGGGAUAACGUAGGGAAACUUACGCUAAUACCGCAUACGACCUACGGGUGAAAGCAGGGGAUCUUCGGACCUUGCGCGAUUGAAUGCGCGGAUGUCGGAUUAGCUAGUUGGCGGGGUAAAGGCCCACCAAGGCGACGAUCCGUAGCUGGUCUGAGAGGAUGAUCAGCCACACUGGAACUGAGACACGGUCCAGACUCCUACGGGAGGCAGCAGUGGGGAAUAUUGGACAAAGGGCGCAAGCCUGAUCCAGCCAUACCGCGUGGGUGAAGAAGGCCUUCGGGUUGUAAAGACCUUUUGUUGGGAAAGAAAAGCAGCAGGUUAAUACCCCGCUGUUCUGACGGUACCCAAAGAAUAAGCACCGGCUAACUUCGUG